rnacentral:rRNA from 1 species
AAAGAAACCAACAGGGAUUGCCUCAGUAACGGCGAGUGAAGCGGCAAGAGCUCAAAAAUGAAAUCCGGCCCCCCUGGGGGCCUGAGUUGUAAUUUGCAGAGGAUGCUUCGGGCGCGACCGCGGUCCAAGUCCCCUGGAACGGGGCGUCGUAGAGGGUGAGAAUCCCGUCUCCGGCCGGCCGGUCUCGCCCGUGUGAAGCUCCUUCGACGAGUCGAGUUGUUUGGGAAUGCAGCUCCAAAUGGGUGGUAAAUUUCAUCUAAAGCUAAAUACUGGUCGGAGACCGAUAGCGCACAAGUAGAGUGAUCGAAAGAUGAAAAGCACUUUGAAAAGAGAGUUAAACAGCAUGUGAAAUUGUUGAAAGGGAAGCGCUUGCGACCAGAGUCGGCCGCGGGGGUUCAGCGGGCAUUCGUUGCCCGUGCAAUCCCCCGCGGCCGGGCCAGCGUCGGUUUCGACGGCCGGUCAAAGGCCCCCGGAAUGUGUCGCCUCUCGGGGCGUCUUAUAGCCGGGGGUGCAAUGCGGCCAGUCGGGACCG